rnacentral:rRNA from 1 species
UGGGGAAUAUUGGACAAUGGGGGGAACCCUGAUCCAGCCAUGCCGCGUGUGUGAAGAAGGCCUUAUGGUUGUAAAGCACUUUAAGCGAGGAGGAGGCUACUGAGACUAAUACUCUUGGAUAAUGGACGUUACUCGCAGAAUAAGCACCGGCUAACUCUGUGCCAGCAGCCGCGGUAAUACAGAGGGUGCGAGCGUUAAUCGGAUUUACUGGGCGUAAAGCGCGCGUAGGCGGCUUUUUAAGUCGGAUGUGAAAUCCCCGAGCUUAACUUGGGAAUUGCAUUCGAUACUGGGAAGCUAGAGUAUGGGAGAGGAUGGUAGAAUUCCAGGUGUAGCGGUGAAAUGCGUAGAGAUCUGGAGGAAUACCGAUGGCGAAGGCAGCCAUCUGGCCUAAUACUGACGCUGAGGUACGAAAGCAUGGGGAGCAAACAGGAUUAGAUACCCUGGUAGUCCAUGCCGUAAACGAUGUCUACUAGCCGUUGGGGCCUUUGAGGCUUUAGUGGCGCAGCUAACGCGAUAAGUAGACCGCCUGGGGAGUACGGUCGCAAGACUAAAAAGCUCAAA